CUACGGGAUGCAGCAGUGGGGAAUAUUGCACAAUGGGCGCAAGCCUGAUGCCGCCAUGCCGCGUGUAUGAAGAAGGCCUUCGGGUUGUAAAGUACUUUCAGCGGGGAGGAAGGGAGUAAAGUUAAUACCUUUGCUCAUUGACGUUACCCGCAGAAGAAGCACCGGCUAACUCCGUGCCAGCAGCCGCGGUAAUACGGAGGGUGCAAGCGUUAAUCGGAAUUACUGGGCGUAAAGCGCACGCAGGCGGUUUGUUAAGUCAGAUGUGAAAUCCCCGGGCUCAGCCUGGGAACUGCAUCUGAUACUGGCAAGCUUGAGUGUCGUAGAGGGGGGUAGAAUUCCAGGUGUAGCGGUGAAAUGCGUAGAGAUCUGGAGGAAUACCGGUGGCGAAGGCGGCCCCCUGGACGAAGACUGACGCUCAGGUGCGAAAGCGUGGGGAGCAAACAGGAUUAGAUACCCUCGUAGUC
rnacentral:rRNA from 1 species